rnacentral:rRNA from 1 species
GACGAACGCUGGCGGCGUGCUUAACACAUGCAAGUCGAACGAAGUGGCGAACGGGUGAGUAAUACGUGGGUAACCUGCCCUCCUUUUUGGGAUAAGCCUUGGAAACGGGGUCUAAUACCGAAUAAAGGGGGAGGGGCUCGCGGCCUAUCAGCUUGUUGGUGGGGUGCUGGCCUACCAAGGCGGUGACGGGUAGCCGGCGUGAGAGGGUGACCGGCCACGGUGAGACGGUGCAACGGCCUAGGGUACGACGGGGGGGAGCAGUGGGGGAUAUGGCAGAAUGGGCGAAAGACUGAUGCAGCGACGACGCGGGGGGGCUGAGGGCUGUCGGGUUCUUAACGUCUUUAGCAAUCGGUCGGGUAGGUGGAGAAGAAGCGCCGGCUAACUCCGUGCCAGCAGCCGCGGUAAUUC